rnacentral:rRNA from 1 species
GACGAACGCUGGCGGCGUGCUUAACACAUGCAAGUCGAACGAAGAGCGACGGAAGCUUGCUUCUAUCAAUCUUAGUGGCGAACGGGUGAGUAACGCGUAAUCAACCUGCCCUUCAGAGGGGGACAACAGUUGGAAACGACUGCUAAUACCGCAUACGAUCUAAUCUCGGCAUCGAGGAUGGAUGAAAGGUGGCCUCUACAUGUAAGCUAUCACUGAAGGAGGGGAUUGCGUCUGAUUAGCUAGUUGGAGGGGUAACGGCCCACCAAGGCGAUGAUCAGUAGCCGGUCUGAGAGGAUGAACGGCCACAUUGGGACUGAGACACGGCCCAGACUCCUACGGGAGGCAGCAGUGGGGAAUCUUCCGCAAUGGACGAAAGUCUGACGGAGCAACGCCGCGUGAGUGAUGACGGCCUUCGGGUUGUAAAGCUCUGUUAAUCGGGACGAAAGGCCUUCUUGCGAAUAGUGAGAAGGAUUGACGGUACCGGAAUAGAAAGCCACGGCUAA